CCUACGGGUGGCAGCAGUGGGGAAUAUUGGACAAUGGGCGAAAGCCUGAUCCAGCCAUGCCGCGUGUGUGAAGAAGGCCUUCGGGUUGUAAAGCACUUUCAGUGGGGAAGAAAGCCUUGGGGCUAAUACCCUCGAGGAAGGACAUCACCCACAGAAGAAGCACCGGCUAACUCCGUGCCAGCAGCCGCGGUAAUACGGAGGGUGCGAGCGUUAAUCGGAAUUACUGGGCGUAAAGCGAGCGUAGGCGGUCUGAUAAGCCGGUUGUGAAAGCCCCGGGCGCAACCUGGGAACGGCAUCCGGAACUGUCAGGCUAGAGUGCAGGAGAGGGAGGUAGAAUUCCCGGUGUAGCGGUGAAAUGCGUAGAGAUCGGGAGGAAUACCAGUGGCGAAGGCGGCCUUCUGGACUGACACUGACGCUGAGGUGCGAAAGCGUGGGUAGCAAACAGGAUUAGAUACCCUGGUAGUC
rnacentral:rRNA from 1 species